AUUGAACGCUGGCGGCAGGCUUAACACAUGCAAGUCGAGCGGGGGAAGGUAGCUUGCUACCGGACCUAGCGGCGGACGGGUGAGUAAUGCUUAGGAAUCUGCCUAUUAGUGGGGACAACAUCUCGAAAGGGAUGCUAAUACCGCAUACGUCCUACGGGAGAAAGCAGGGGAUCUUCGGACCUUGCGCUAAUAGAUGAGCCUAAGUCGGAUUAGCUAGUUGGUGGGGUAAAGGCCUACCAAGGCGACGAGCUGUAGCGGGUCUGAGAGGAUGAUCCGCCACACUGGGACUGGGACACGGCCCAGACUCCUACGGGAGGCAGCAGUGGGGAAUAUUGGACAAUGGGGGGAACCCUGAUCCAGCCACGCCGCGUGUGUGAAGAAGGCCUUAUGGUUGUAAAGCACUUUAAGCGAGGAGGAGGCUACUUUAGUUAAUACCUAGAGAUAGUGGACGUUACUCGCAGAAUAAGCACCGGCUAACUCUGUGCCAGCCGCCGCGGUAA
rnacentral:rRNA from 1 species